GGGUGAGUAACGCGUGAGCAACCUGCCUAUGACAGUGGGAUAGCCUCGGGAAACCGGGAUUAAUACAGCAUAAAAUCGUAGAAACACAUGUUUUAACGGUCAAAGAUUUAUCGGUCAUAGAUGGGCUCGCGUCUGAUUAGCUAGUUGGUGAGAUAACAGCCCACCAAGGCGACGAUCAGUAGCCGGUCUGAGAGGAUGAACGGCCACAUUGGAACUGAGACACGGUUCAA
rnacentral:rRNA from 1 species